UACGUAGGGUGCGAGCGUUGUCCGGAAUUACUGGGCGUAAAGGGCUCGUAGGCGGUUUGUCGCGUCGUCUGUGAAAACCAGCAGCUCAACUGUUGGCUUGCAGGCGAUACGGGCAGACUUGAGUACUGCAGGGGAGACUGGAAUUCCUGGUGUAGCGGUGAAAUGCGCAGAUAUCAGGAGGAACACCGGUGGCGAAGGCGGGUCUCUGGGCAGUAACUGACGCUGACGAGCGAAAGCGUGGGUAGCGAACAGGAUUAGAACCGUACCG
rnacentral:rRNA from 1 species